rnacentral:tRNA from 1 species
GGCUGGGUAGCUCAGUUGCUUAGAGUGUCCGCCUGAUAUGCCAAGGUUGUGGGUUUGAUCCCCAGUCAGGCCA